rnacentral:rRNA from 1 species
UACGAAUGUGGCAAGCGUUGUUCGGAAUCACUGGGCGUAAAGAAUGCGUAGGCGGCUUAACAAGUCAGGAGUGAAAUCCCAGGGCUCAACCCUGGAACUGCUCUUGAAACUGUUUUGCUAGAGUCCCGGAGGGGUUAGCGGAAUUCCGAGUGUAGAGGUGAAAUUCGCAGAUAUUCGGAGGAACACCAGUGGCGAAGGCGGCUAACUGGACGGGAACUGACGCUGAGGCAUGAAAGUGUGGGGAUCAAACAGG